rnacentral:rRNA from 1 species
AACGAACGCUGGCGGCGCGCCUAACACAUGCAAGUCGAGCGAUUAAAGCUCCUUCGGGAGUAUAUAAAGCGGCGGACGGGUGAGUAAGGCAUAGAUGAUCUGCCCUAAAGAGGGGGAUAGCUCAGGGAAACUUGGGUUAAUACCGCGUAAGCUGAACGAGUGAAUGCCGUUUAGUAAAGGCUUCGGCCGCUUUAGGAUGAGUCUAUGUUAGAUUAGAUAGUUGGUGAGGUAACGGCUCACCAAGUCAACGAUCUAUAACUGGUCUGAGAGGAUGAUCAGUCACACUGGAACUGAGACACGGUCCAG